rnacentral:lncRNA from 1 species
GCCACAGGUUUGUUUAUCCGCACAUCAGCAUUUACCUGAAGCUAAAACUCCAUUUUGCAGGGAACGAGUGGACGUCUGGAGGUCUGGCGCUGGUUUUUGGCUCCUGUAGUUGAACGGUGACCCGCCUCCGGUUGUGUGUCUCAUGAUGUUCUUAUGCAAGGCAGAACGGAGACGGGAAAGUCACAAAACAUGUUUACUCUCAUCCUUCACUCCCGCUGCAGUCGAUAGGGCUCGCGCUGCUCUUAAACCCAUUACGGAUGUGCUUCGGCCAACUGUGAAACCUCUGUCUGCUCCAUAUCUGCCGCCAACUCCAAUCAACACUGAACUCCAGCGGCCCAAAACAUCCACGGCUGUCAUACACAUGCUUCCAGAGAGCGUCGCCGUGUGAAGGAUUGAGUCCCGCACGCAGUGGAGAGCAGGUUCGUGACCGUGUUUAGCAACACACAUGUAAAACAGUCUUUAGGACUGGACAUAAUGCAAGAAAACAAAACAUGAGUUAAAAAUAGAGAUAUUCUAAUCAAAUAUUACUGCAGCAAAAGUAUUAAAGUGUUUCCAUUUUAUUUGAGUUACAGAAGUACAGAAGUAUUUUUAUGUUCUUAAUAGUGCUGGGCAAAAGUU